CUCAGGACGAACGCUGGCGGCGUGCCUAACACAUGCAAGUCGAACGGAGAUAUGAUUUCGGUUGUAUCUUAGUGGCGAACGGGUGAGUAACGCGUGAACAACCUGACUCUAAGAGGGGGAUAACACUCGGAAACGGGUGCUAAUACCGCAUAAGACCACGACCUGGCAUCAGGAUGAGGUCAAAGGAGCAAUCCGCUGAGAGAGGGGUUCGCGUCCCAUUAGAUAGAUGGCGGGUAACGGCCCACCAUGUCAACGAUGGGUAGCCGAGCUGAGAGGCUGAUCGGCCACACUGGAACUGAGACACGGUCCAGACUCCUACGGGAGGCAGCAGUGGGGAAUAUUGGGCAAUGGGCGCAAGCCUGACCCAGCAACGCCGCGUGAGGGAAGAAGGCUUUCGGGUUGUAAACCUCUGUCCUUGGUGACGAAACAAAUGACGGUAGCCAAGGAGGAAGCCCCGGCUAACUACGUG
rnacentral:rRNA from 1 species